AAGGAUUUAAGUUAAAAAAAACUAGCAGCCUUCAAAGCUCCAAAUAAAGAAUAAGGUCUUUAAGCCUUA
rnacentral:tRNA from 1 species